UGGGAUGAGGGCAGGACCCCGGAUAUUGUACUUGACCGACGCACACAUAAUGGCACAGACAGCCUCUUCCUCACGCUCCUGGGCCAAGGCUGCCUCCUGC